AAAAAACACAAUGACAAAAAUCAAGCCUUCCUACUGUGUGAUCUUUACUGUUAGAGAAAAGGAAGGAUAGCUUUAUCCAUUUCGACAAGUUUGCACCUCGGAAUCAUGCAGCGGAAACUAAGUUGAAACAAAUGAAAUUUCAUAUAACCACCAUCUCACAACAACAACAAAAAAAGAGUAAUUUUAUAUGUUCACUUUCAGAAUCCAAGAGGAAGUUGGCAUUAUCA
rnacentral:misc_RNA from 1 species